AAAGGCGCUGCGUCCUGGCGGCUCUGCGGGGGUUUCGUCGAGGCCCAGCAGGCUUGGGUCGGGAGACCCGGGUGCCGGCGGGGGCCGGGCUGGGAGACGCCACGGCCGCCAUCAGUCACCGAGGUGGGGUGGGAAAGAGAGGUUCGCUGCGGCUUCAAGGUCUGAGCACAGCCAGUGGGCAGCCACAGCAGAGGCCUCCGGUGUCUGCAGGGCAGAGGGCUCGGCCUGUCCCGAGGCCCCCCAGUUCAUCCGCCGGCCCGGGGCCAGAGGGCCCUGAAGGCGCGGGCUGCGUUCUGCGUCUCUCCGCGAUCUCUGCCGGACCGGAACUAAGACCAGACCAUUUUCUUCUGGAAAAAUCAGAAAUUUGUAUUGAUGAAAAAAAAAAGUUGUUCUUGGCCAAAAACAUCAAUCAGCCUCAUCUCCAGAGUGAUCCUCCAAACUCAGGGAGAAUUGCAGUGAAUGACAGUUCCUAUUUCUCAACAUCAUUGUCAGCAUUUGAUGCCGUCAGUGUCCUAGAUUUUGACCAUUAUAAUAGUCAUCCUCCUUAGCCACCUCUGAUGAGUGCAUUGAAGAGGAUGACCUGCUUGGUUAUUCUGCUUCCCGAAUACAAAAAAUUAGGCUUCUGAAAUCAAACAUAAGAAGUCAUUGUUGCUUUUAUUCCAGAGACUGGGUCUCGCUGUGUUUCCCAGGCAGGUCUCUAACUACUGGGCUCAAAUAUCUGUCUGCUGCAGCCUCCCAAAGUGAUGGGAUUAGAGGCAUUAGCCACCCCACCCAGCCUCAACCAAGGAGUCUCGCUCAGUCGCCUCGGCUGGAGUGCAGUGGCACCAGCUCGGCUCACUGCAACCUCCGCCUGCUGGAUUCAAGUGAUUCUCUUACCUCAGCUUCCCGAGUGGCUGGGAUUACAGGCACCUGCCACAACGCCCGGCUAAUUUUUUUGUAUUUUAAAUAGAGACAGGAUUUCACCAUGUUGGGCAGGCUGGUCUUGAACCCCUUACCUCAAAUGAUUCACUUGCCUCGGCCUCCCAAAGUGCUGCAAUUACAGGCAUGAGCCCCCUCGCCCGGCCAAGAUGAACUAAUUUAAACAAAUAUUUAUAUUGAUCAUCAUAGUACAUCCAUCUUUGUUGGAUGUAUUAAUACCACAGUAUAAAUUGAUAAUAUUAAAUAUUACCAAUUCUAUCAGACUAUCAGAUGUUCAGACAUCUGAAGUCCUUGUUGGUAUCACUUGCCCAUUUUUAAUGAUAUUUGCUCACAAUAUAUGUUGAUUUCUUUUCUAUUUCAGCAGCUGUUUGUGCUAAUGUGUCAGGUUAAGAU
rnacentral:lncRNA from 1 species